UACGUAGGCAGCGAGCGUUGUUCGGAAUUACUGGGCGUAAAGCGUGCGCAGGCGGCUUCUCAAGUCAGGGGUGAAAGCCCAGAGCUCAACUCUGGAAUUGCCUUUGAGACUGAGUGGCUUGAGUACGAGAGAGGUGAGUGGAAUUCCCAGUGUAGAGGUGAAAUUCGUAGAUAUUGGGAAGAACACCGGUGGCGAAGGCGGCUCACUGGCUCGUAACUGACGCUCAUGCACGACAGCGUGGGGAUCAAACAGG
rnacentral:rRNA from 1 species